GACGCGUAACGUAUUGCAUUGCUUUCGAGAGAAGGAAAAACAAAUUAGAAAAUAAAAACAACAACCGUGCGUUAAAACUAAACAUAACGGAAUAUGUUUAACGGGUCUAUUGUAUGUAACGGGAAAUAACAAUCAUUAUUGAAAACUUUCCACUAAAAUUAUUUAAUUGUUUUUUUCGUAAAAUUUCUUUUAAUUUUAAAAAAAAGUGAAAAUUUUUAAAAAGUGUUUAAAGUAAACCAGCAUGUGUGUUUGUUUGAAAGAAUUAAUUUGUCUCACAAUCGGUUACGGACUAACGGUUUGUUUACGUCAUUGUCGAAAAUGUUGAAAAAGUGAGAAACAAAAAAAUAUAAAUAAAUCUUACAAAAAAGUAUAACAAUAAGAAAAAAGAAACAAAAACAAAAAUCAAAUUAUCUUUGAAAAAAAAACAAAAGUUAUUAAAAGAAAAAAAUAAGAACAUUUUAUCUAUAAAUUUUUUUUAAGUAAAACACGAGGUCAACAACAUAAAUAACUACUACACUACUACUACAAGUAGUUUUACAAAAAUAAAAACAACAACAACUAUGUAGUAUGUAAAGGCAACAAAAAGAAACAAUAAUGUGUAAUAAAACUACAGACAACGACGCCGCUUAAAGUUAAAGGAAGUCGAGGAAGCUAAGUUGUGUGGUAAAAAGAUUUAAA